UACGUAGGUGGCAAGCGUUGUCCGGAUUUAUUGGGUUUAAAGGGUGCGUAGGCGGUUCUUUAAGUCAGUUGUGAAAUACGGCAGCUCAACUGUCGAGGUGCAAUUGAUACUGGGGGACUAGAGUACUGAUGAGGUAGGCGGAAUGGACGGUGUAGCGGUGAAAUGCUUAGAGAUCGUCCAGAACACCGAUAGCGAAGGCAGCUUACUAAGGAGUAACUGACGCUGAGGCACGAAAGUGUGGGGAUCAAACAGG
rnacentral:rRNA from 1 species